ACUCCUACGGGAGGCAGCAGUAAGGAACCUUCCGCAAUGGGCGAAAGCCUGACGGAGCGACACCGCGUGGUGGAUGACGGCCUAUGGGUUGUAAACACCUUUUUCUAUGGGGAAGAAGAUCUGACGGUACCAUAGGAAUAAGCCCCGGCUAAUUACGUGCCAGCAGCCGCGGUAAUACGUAAGGGCAAGCGUUACCCGGAAUUAUUGGGCGUAAAGCGUCCGCAGGCGGAGAUGUAAGUCAGUUAUU
rnacentral:rRNA from 1 species